rnacentral:lncRNA from 1 species
UUACAUAUUUCAUAUCAAAUACUCGUAUAUGGAAAAUUAUGUACAAUUUACAUUAUAUUUUAACAAAGACAAAUUCGAGUUGCAACAUAAAUAUAAAAAAAUGAUAAUUUUUUAUUGAUAUGAUUCAUAUUUGCAUCACAAAAAGUAAUUGAAAAAUGUAUUAUUGGUGUCGUCAGGCCGAAUGUGUGCCACAGGGUGGUGGCUAACGGUUGUGGGUAGGAUUUUUGCAUACAAGUUGUGGUAUCGACUCCUUCUCUUGAUCGUGAUUGUAAUACCCAAUUAUUGUCCAGGGCCCAAAAUCAUUUACACAAACCAAAUACUAAAACUAAAUACAUUUAACCCAAAUAACUCAAACUACAAGCCCAUUAACCUAAACCCAAGCCCAACUACAAUAUAGCCCAAGGGAGAAACCCUAAGCAGUUAGCAGCAGACAGCACCGCAUGCCCCACGUUCGGUAGCCUCCACAUCGCCCACGUUCAGCCCUCCGCGCGCACGACGCACCUCUUUCAUGUUUUCCAUGUACCUACAACGAACCACUAAUGGAAAAUAAUGGCAGAAAAUACGACGAGAAUGAAAUGAGAGUUUUUUUUGUUUUGUUUGUUAUUUUUCGGCUAUAUAAAGCCAAAUAAAAUUUGUAAAAAGGGGGAAGAAAAAAAAUUGUAUCUAAGAAUUUCAGAAAUAUGGAAAAAACAAAGAAUCAAAGAUAAUUUUGAAGGUGAUCAGUUUAUUCCGUUUUUCCUUUUCUUCUUACUGUUUUGUUUCUUUUUUUAAUUUUCUUCCUUGUUUUUAAAAUAAAUAAACGAAGUAAAGAGAAAGAGGGGAGAUUCUUACCAACGGUGGCGCGCCGUUGACAUCUUUGCUUCGCUUCGUUCCAAUCGAAGUUGAAAGGGGGGAACUUCAGCGUGAGGAGCAAAGAAGAGGAUGAAGCAACCCCUGCGGCUGCUGCUGCUGCAAAUGGAAUGAGUUUUAAUUAGGGUUUGAAAUGGGAUUUAAGCAUUAAUGGGUUAUUUACAUUUUUAAUCCUUUUUAUUUUUCCAUCAUUUCAAAACCAUGGUUUUUGUUUUUAAAUUUUUCUAUGAAAUAUUGAAAUUGUUUUAUUUUAAUCCCAUUUAAAUGCAGUGUUUGAGAGGUUUAGGUGAAUUUCCCUUUUGGGUCCUCCUCCUAUUGAGCGCAUUUUAAUUUGGGCCUUUUUGAUGUUUUCUAUCUUUAAAUUCGGUCCUUAAACUCUGUUUAUUUUCAAUUUAAUCCUUAAUCAGUCGUUUUAGGUUUUUUAGUUUUUUAAUAUUAUUAAUAUUGUUAUUGCAUCAUUAUUAUUACUAUUAUUAUAAUUGUUAUGACCACGUUUUUUAUUCCAAGUUUCUAUACAUAUACACGCAUAUUUUUUUAAUUUAAUAUAUAUGCCUAUAUUUUUUAGAUUUUAUAAAUACA